GGCGCGCAGCGUCAGCACUUCCUGAGUCAUCGUCAAAUUGGGAAGGCUGUAUCUUGCUCGGUGAAUUCAAAGUACUUUGUGUCGCAAGUCUGCCGUGUUGUAACGUUCUUCCGUAGUUCUACCAGACACACGAGCCAGAUACAGUCUCACCGUUUGAGAUGGCAAUGGGACGGGCGGAGGGAGUUGCUGUUUGCAGUGACGAUGCUGGGCUUGUACCAACUGAAUCGGGGAUCCCAUGUUCUAGUCUCUACGCCUUUCAUUGGUUUGGUUUGUAAACUGUAUCAGAACCAAUGUAUUUCUGUUUCAAACUUUUUCAUUCAACAAAUAACUAAAGUCUAUCAGUUAUCAGUCGAGUCUGUAAACGUCGUAUUCAUAGAGCGUUUUAUUCGAUAUGUUUAUUUUUUCAGAAGUAUGGCGGUUAAAAAUUGUGUACUUAUGUCGUAGAGUUAAAAAAGAAAGCUUGUAACAGUAAAUUUUAAUUUAUAGAUUUAACGCAGAACAAUUUGGUAUGUUUCUAUGUAUGGAUUUUUACUCAUGAUUAUUGUUAAUUGAAAACAGUUUUGUAAAUGUGUGACAGAGCGGAACAGCAGCGGAAGAAAUAAAAAGGAAUAAUAAAUCUUGUAUAAAAAGCAAUUUUUCUAUUAUCUUUUUUUAAUUCGCCGUAUUAAUGCCAGAAAUGCUUUUCAGUCCAGCGUACACAGUAACAAAAUUGUAUCGCACGCAAGAGAGCCGCACACACACGCGCGUCCAGGCUGGUGGUCGUCAUCGGCGACGCGAUUUGGCCUGUCUGUAUAUGAGAAAAAUAAAAAGGAGUGGUGAGAGGA